rnacentral:tRNA from 1 species
GCGGCCGUGGUCCAGUUCGGCAAGACUCUGGCUUCCCGAGCCAGCUACGCGGGUUCGAAUCCCGCCGGUCGCA